UACGUAGGGUGCGAGCGUUGUCCGGAAUUAUUGGGCGUAAAGAGCUCGUAGGCGGCUUGUCGCGUCGUCCGUGAAAACCUGCGGCUCAACUGCAGGCUGGCGGUCGAUACGGGCAGGCUGGAGUUCGGUAGGGGAGACUGGAAUUCCUGGUGUAGCGGUGAAAUGCGCAGAUAUCAGGAGGAACACCUGCGGCGAAGGCGGGUUGCUGGGCUGACACUGACGCUGAUGCGCGAAAGCUAGGGGAGCGAACGGG
rnacentral:rRNA from 1 species